rnacentral:rRNA from 1 species
UUCCUACGGGAGGCAGCAGUGAGGAAUAUUGCACAAUGGGCGAAAGCCUGAUGCAGCAACGCCGCGUGGAUGAUGAAGGCCCUCGGGUUGUAAAAUCCUUUUCUGGAAGAAGAGAAAGGACGGUACUCCAGGAAUAAGCGUCGGCUAACUACGUGCCAGCAGCCGCGGUAAAACGUAGGACGCAAGCGUUAUCCGGAUUUAUUGGGCGUAAAGCGCGUGCAGGCGGUAUGGUAAGUCGGACGUGAAAGCUCUCGGCUCAACUGGGAGAGGUCGUUCGAGACUGCUAUACUUGAGGACGGUAGAGGAGAGUGGAAUUCUGGGUGUAGUGGUGAAAUGCGUAGAUAUCCAGAGGAACACCAGUGGCGAAGGCGGCUCUCUGGGCCGUUCCUGACGCUAAGACGCGAAAGCUAGGGUAGCAAACGGGAUUAGAAACCCCGGUAGUCCUAGCCGUAAACGAUGGAGACUAGGUGUAGGGAGGUAACCUCUCUGUGCCGUAGCUAACGCGUUAAGUCUCCCGCCUGGGGAUUACGACCGCAAGGUUAAAACUCAAAUGAAUUGACGGAA